AGAGUUUGAUCCUGGCUCAGGAUUAACGCUGGCGGCGUGCAUAACACAUGCAAGUCGAACGAUGAAACUUAGUAGACUUCUUCGGAAAGACACUAAGCGGAUUAGUGGCGAACGGGUGAGUAACGCGUGAGUAACCUGCCUUACACAAGGGGAUAGCCUUUGGAAACGAAGAAUAAUACCCUAUAAAACCAUAAAAGCACAUGCUAGAAUGGUCAAAGUGAUAGCGGUGUAAGAUGGACUUGCGUCUGAUUAGCUAGUUGGUGAGAUAAAAGCUCACCAAGGCAACGAUCAGUAGCCGGCUUGAGAGAGUGUACGGCCACAUUGGGACUGAGACACGGCCCAGACUCCUACGGGAGGCAGCAGUGGGGAAUUUUGCACAAUGGGGGAAACCCUGAUGCAGCGACGCCGCGUGAUUUAGAAGGCCUUCGGGUUGUAAAAAUCUUUUGUAUAGGAAGAAAAUGACAGUACUAUACGAAUAAGGUCCGGCUAAUUACGUGCCAGCAGCCGCGGUAAUACGUAAGGACCGAGCGUUGUCCGGAAUCAUUGGGCGUAAAGGGUACGUAGGCGGCUAGAAAAGUUAGAAGUCAAAGGCUAUAGCUCAACUAUAGUAAGCUUCUAAAACUAUUUAGCUUGAGAAAUGGAAGGGAAAGUGGAAUUCCUAGUGUAGCGGUGGAAUGCGCAGAUAUUAGGAAGAAUACCGGUGGCGAAGGCGACUUUCUGGCCAUUAUCUGACGCUGAGGUACGAAAGCGUGGGUAGCAAACAGGAUUAGAUACCCUGGUAGUCCACGCCGUAAACGAUGAGUGUUAGGUGUCUGGAGUCAAAUCUGGGUGCCGCAGCAAACGCAUUAAACACUCCGCCUGGGGAGUACGCACGCAAGUGUGAAACUCAAAGGAAUUGACGGGGACCCGCACAAGCAGCGGAGCAUGUGGUUUAAUUCGACGCAACGCGAAGAACCUUACCAAGUCUUGACAUAUUACAGAAUCAGUUAGAGAUAAUUGCUUACAUCUUCGGAUGACUGUAAUACAGGUGGUGCAUGGUUGUCGUCAGCUCGUGUCGUGAGAUGUUGGGUUAAGUCCC
rnacentral:rRNA from 1 species